rnacentral:tRNA from 1 species
UGCAGGUGCGGGGAUCGAAAUUCCCCGGGCCUUUCACAUGCAAAGUAAACGCUCUACCACUGAGCUACACCCC